rnacentral:rRNA from 1 species
CGAAGCCGCGUCUUACAUGGAACCCCGUUCCUCGCCGCGAUAUCCCCGUUUGAGCCUCUUUCCUGCCGCGACUACGCUGCACAGGGACUGAAAUGCAAAUUGGGUGCUUGUAUGAAACGCACUGGGCUUUGCAGGGGCUGAUCCGUGAAAUACCUGCGCUUUGUGCCGCCUUAAGACAAAAAAGUUGUCAUGGUCCAUACAAGCAAGUAGUAGCAGCUGGGAGGAGGAAGAUAGGAAGAGAGGAGCAGAGGUAGCCUCGUCUUCCUCGGGAUUGGGAGGGACGAGAGAGGCGGGGAGAGAAUGCAGGAGCAGGGGGAGAGCUCGCGGCCUUCGAGCAGCGACAGGUCGUCCAGCUCCGGCAACCACAUGGGGCACAAGGAAGGCAAGCUCUACAACUUCAAUUCUCUCCUGCUGUAAUGCUGUUUUAGCUCGAUCGGUUCUUGAAACCAAGCUCUUGUGCGCUGUGCCUUCCGGUGAGUGUCCAUUGGGCCGGGCUUCCGAAAGUUCCGAUCAUCUUGAUCACUUGCCAGAGAUGUUCUAUACUUUUCUAGAAUUUUGGGUCGAAUUUCACGCCAUCUUUAACUGGGCAUUUUGAGGAAAGAAGCUCUGCACUCAUUUAUGCAGCAGAAUUUGCGUUUAUGCGCGUUUGUGUUUGCAGAAAGACCGAUGUCUUCGAAAGAAGUAUGGUGAACCGAGCUAAGCUGAGCUUCGUUGGACUGCAGGGAUGGAGAGCGACGACGAGAUAGGGACGGUGCCGGAGCUGGGCCUGGGGCCAAGCGGCGCGUCCACGUCCGGCAGGAGGGAAGCCGACGGGCCGGAGCGCGCCCAGUCCUCCACCGCGCAAGGCAGCGCGCGCCGCCGCGGACGCACCCCGGCCGACAAGGAGCACAAGCGCCUCAAGAGGUUGCUGAGGAACCGGGUAUCAGCCCAGCAGGCAAGGGAGAGGAAGAAAGCUUAUUUGGGCGAUCUGGAGGUGAAGGUGAAGGACCUAGAGAAGAAGAAUUCGGAGCUGGAAGAGAGGCAUUCCACCCUACAGAAUGAGAACCAGAUGCUCCGACAGAUCCUGAAGAACACCACUGUGAGCAGAAGAGGGCCAAGUGAGGGUCAAUAGCACAGAGGUUGUCAGGGUUGAUUCGCAGAAUUUUCACAGCAAACAGUUCAAUUCACGUGAAUCAAAGAGGCCCUAGGAUCGAAUAUAGCUGCGUUGAUCGAUCCCAAAAUACACUAUGUCUGGAACUUAAACUGGUUGGAAGCUUUCUGGCCAAAGGAUAACCUCAAAAUCCGGGGGCCUAAACCUGUGUAGAUCUUCACAGAUGUCCCCAUCAUACUCUAUGAAGUCCAGCACCACGUGCUGUGCUUCGUUAAUAAUCUCAGAAAAUUAGUUUUGAGUGAUUUAACAUGUAAUUUGUAUCAUUUUUUAUGUAUCUACGAGUAUACAAUCCAAACAUUUUAUUGUUUGGCAAUUUACUUUGUACUAUGGGCAAAUGCGCACAUCCGGUGUCGGCAAAUGCGGCCUUGUCAUGUUAUGGCUCUUGCGGAUUGAUGACUCCUCGAGGAUAUAUGUCAUAUGGGUGAACAACUCAGCCCCUUCCAUCAGCAUCUUUCCUCUUGUUUUGAUUCCAAGGAGUCCAAAUUGAUGGUGUGCGUUCGUUUUAUAUUGGUAUGACACUGACGUGCACCCUUGCCUUUCUCUCUUGUCCGUGCUUGCUGGCUUUGGAGGUGCUGCCAUCAUAAUCUGGACCCGAUCACCAUUUUUCUUACAUAAUCGCACUAGAAACGUUAAAGAAAAAUCGAAAAGAAAGGUCAAAACCUUUCGGCCCCUACAUUCUCCGGUACACACAGCCAUAAAACCUAAUCAAAUCCUCAGUGAUCAAGUUGGCAGAAAGUUGCCGUCUUUCGAACACAAAAGGAGAGGAGAACAGAACACGGGACAUUCAAUCUUUUUUUUUACCCAAUUUUUCUUUUUUAAAGUGUCAAAAAAUAAUCUUAUUCUUGUUUUGGCUCAAGCAGCACAGAAGGAGAGUUUCAUUUCCGAGAGAAAUGCUCAAGUUUGCUUUGGCCAUUGUAGUGCCCUGCAGCUGUGGACAGGGCCCACAACCACACACACCUGCCUUAAAUCCAGAGGUGAUCUCCAUUUACUAGUGUUACCUGUUAGAAGUAUAAUUAUGUUUAAGUUAGAGAUUAGAAGUUAGAGAUAUGAUUGGUUUAAACCACAUGUAACUUGUCUUGUACUCCAAGUCUCUACCCCUCUUGUAUUCCU